UAUUCAUUUUUGUUUUGUUUAUUAUGUUUUGUUAUUUGUUAGUUAUUUUAAUAUGAGCUAAUAUAUAGAUUUGAUAUGAUAUACAUAUUAUGUUGAUACAACACUUAAUCUUAAUAUACAUUCUUUACUCCGAGGAUUAUUGAUAAUUCAUUUCUAUUUAUCUUUUUCACCAGCUGUAUACAUUCUCCCCCUUAUGUUGGAAUAGCUGACUAUAUAAUAUGAUAGUCUUCAAAACGAGCGGUAUAUAAAUUCUUCUAGAAUAAAUUAGUUAUCAUUCAUAUCCAACAUGUAUUCUUAUCCUCCUUUGAGGGUUCAUCUCUGCGUGCUGUGGUGGAGCACUUUUCACAUUCAAAGCUUUUAGAUGAAAACUAUUUGGUUUCUGACCCAAAACCAAUAAUAAUGGGGAAAACUAUUAAUUAUUCAUUGGCUUGAUGCGUAUCGAUGUUACUAAACCAUUUUGUGUAUGAACAUGAAUUUCAAAAUGUUAAACACUUAUCCCAACGGAUAUCCAAUAAUGGUUAUUAUAAAUAAACACUGAAAUACUCUUGUACUUUAAUCAAGAAAGUAAUCUCGCAAACUUUAUGUUGCGGGUUUAUAACAAGGAUAAAUAUGACCUUCUUGUCGAUGCAACAAUCGAGUCAAUGCGUCCAUUGAAUCGAUGCAUCUUUUAUAACCAUUAGGUAUCUAAAUGUCAUAUAGUGAGUGAUCAACCCAUAAUCAUCUCCUUGUAUAUACUUACGAAUAGAUAAAGUCCAAAUUACUUAUACUGGUAAAAAUCACAUUAUCAUAUUGCUUUCUGAGCAAGUAACAUUUGAUAAAUCAUUAAGGAGAAUCUUCUGGUUUUUCACCUAAUGUCCACAUAAUUCUCAAUACUUUCACAUCAUCAUUAAACCAGGAUGACCAAUCCGGUUAAGCCAAAUAUACUCUUGAAACUUUUAAUUCUUUU
rnacentral:sRNA from 1 species